rnacentral:rRNA from 1 species
GAUGAACGCUGGCGGCGUGCUUAACACAUGCAAGUCGAACGGAAAGGCCUGUACUUGUACAGGUACUCGAGUGGCGAACGGGUGAGUAACACGUGGGUGAUCUGCCCUGCACUGGGGGAUAAGCCCGGGAAACUGGGUCUAAUACCAUAGAGGACCACUUCGUUGAUGUUGUGGUGGAAAGCUUUUGCGGUGUGGGAUGAGCCUGCGGCCUAUCAGCUUUGUGGUGGGGUAAUGGCCUACCAAGGCGGCGCCGGGUAUCCGGGCUGAGAGGGAGUACGGACACAUUGGGACAGAGAUACGGCCCAGACUCAUACGGGAGGCAGCAGUGGGGAAUAUUGCACAAUGGGCGCAAGCCCGAUGCAGCGACGCCGCGUGGGGGAUGACGGCCUUCGGGUUGUAAACUCCUUUCGCUAUCGACGAAGCCACCUUGGGUGGUGACGGUAGGUAGAUAAGAAGCGCCGGCUAACUACGUGCCAGCCGCCGCCGUAA